rnacentral:rRNA from 1 species
AUUGAACGCUGGCGGCAUGCCUUACACAUGCAAGUCGAACGGUAACGGGCCUUUUGCUGCCGGCGUCAGGCGCACGCGUGAGUACUACAUCUGAACGUGCCCCAGCUAGGGGGAGAACAAGUCGAAAGCUGUGCUAUUACCCCAUACGAUCUCUGGGUGAGAGCAGGGGGGCGCAAGGCCUCUCGCGCUCUCAGCGGCCGAGGGCGGAUUAGGUAGUUGGUGGGGUAAAAGCUUACCAAGCCGACGAGCUGUAACUGGUCUGAGAGGAUGAUCAGACACACUGGGACUGAGACACGGCCCAGACUCCUACGGGAGGCAGCAGUGGGGAAUUUUGGACAAUGGGCGAAAGCCUGAUCCAGCCAUGCCGCGUGUAGGAUGAAGGCCUUCGGGUUGUAAAGUGCUUUUGUACGGGAGGAAAAGCCUUCUGUUAAUACAGGGCGGUCAUGACGGUACCGAAAGAAUAAGCACCGGCUAACUACGUG